rnacentral:rRNA from 1 species
UGGCGAACUGGUGAGUAACACGUGGGAAACCUGCCCAGAAGCGGGGGAUAACACCUGGAAACAGAUGCUAAUACCGCAUAACAACUUGGACCGCAUGGUCCGAGCUUGAAAGAUGGCUUCGGCUAUCACUUUUGGAUGGUCCCGCGGCGUAUUAGCUAGAUGGUGAGGUAACGGCUCACCAUGGCAAUGAUACGUAGCCGACCUGAGAGGGUAAUCGGCCACAUUGGGACUGAGACACGGCCCAAACUCCUACGGGAGGCAGCAGUAGGGAAUCUUCCACAAUGGACGAAAGUCUGAUGGAGCAACGCCGCGUGAGUGAAGAAGGGUUUCGGCUCGUAAAACUCUGUUGUUAAAGAAGAACAUAUCUGAGAGUAACUGUUCAGGUAUUGACGGUAUUUAACCAGAAAGCCACGGCUAACUACGUGCCAGCAGCCGCGGUAAUACGUAGGUGGCAAGCGUUGUCCGGAUUUAUUGGGCGUAAAGCGAGCGCAGGCGGUUUUUUAAGUCUGAUGUGAAAGCCUUCGGCUCAACCGAAGAAGUGCAUCGGAAACUGGGAAACUUGAGUGCAGAAGAGGACAGUGGAACUCCAUGUGUAGCGGUGAAAUGCGUAGAUAUAUGGAAGAACACCAGUGGCGAAGGCGGCUGUCUGGUCUGUAACUGACGCUGAGGCUCGAAAGUAU